GCUCACUUUGGCAGAACAUAUACUAAAAUUGCAACAAUAUAGAGGAGAUUAGCAUGGCCCUGAACAAGGAUGAUACACAAAUUCAUGAAUUAUUCCAUACUUUU
rnacentral:snRNA from 1 species